AAACCAUAUACAGCAAUUGAUCGAGAGCAUACUCCAAGAUAUGUAAGUGGGGGGCAGGUUUGACUUAGGUUAGUUGUUUGUGGGGGCAGGUUUGACUUUGGGUCUUGGUAUGACUUUGGUUAGUUGUUUAUGGUUGAACAAAUAUUUGAACAAUGUUUCACUUAAAUUGAUUGUUAAAUUAACCAUUUAAGUUAUCUAACAUAUAGGCUUUAAUGGGAAUCUUGUUAAUAUGAUGUUUAGAUGCUUGGUGAUCGUUUUAACGUGAAAUAUUGUCUCACUAUGAAGGGAUCUCUUCAUGUUAUGGAGAAGUACUUCCAUAAAAAGGUUUGCUCCAAUCCCCUCAUCAGCUUUCUAUCAUUUAGGGCUGGUUAUCCCUGCACCAGUAUGCUAACAGGCUUGCAUUAUGUUUGGCAACUAAGGACAUUGAUAUUAGCCUGUUUGUCCCUCUUCAAGGUCUUGUAAAUAUGUUCUCAACACACUUAUGCAUACUUUUCAAAAUAAAGGGCUUGCUUUGUUGCUCCUUCUGUCACAUGUUCGAUGAAAGGGUUCAAGGUUAUAUUAUGCUUUUACUUGAGCUAUUGCGAACGCGGGAAGCGAUGUCUCACCAAAUUUCCAUGUUUGAGGUGCUACCAAGGAAGCAAUUGUCUAACAAGAUUUUUAUGCAUAGAUUGAAAAGUUGAACUUAGUUAUCAAGGAGCUCGUUAAGGAAAAUGAUGAAGAAAAAGAAAGGCUAAAUGGAAUUAUUGCCGGGUUGUUGGCUGAAAAAGAAAAAGAUAAGGUGGAUAACGAUGCUAUGCUCGAUACGAUGUCACAAAUUGAAGUUGUUUACAAAUACAAUUUGAAGAUAGGCUACAAAUAUUUGGUUUUGAAUGUUUCGAUGUUUAUCGUAUUAGGAUUUUUUAGUUAUUUGAUGUUUUAGCUGGUAUUUCUAUUAGAAUGUUUUAUAUGCUUUUGAUACACAUAAGUUUUAUAUAAUUUUGGGUUUUCGUGAUCU